GGUCAGGUGGUGUAUUUGGUAAUGUCUUUGCUAUAUAUGCAGAAGCCCUGGGUUCAAUUCCCAGUCUGCCCA